CCAUCUAAGACCAAACGGCGAAACACUGGAGCUUUUUUUUCUUCUUGGAUUUUCUCCAAAAACACACAAAGAACAGACUCCCUACCCUAAUGGUUUAAUCCCUAGCAACAAUAAUCAGGAGCAAAAAUGAAAAACUCAUAAACAUAUACAAGGGUUUUUGAAAGGCAAAUUUGAGGCUCGAAGAAGCUCAGCUGGGUCGAAAAUUACUUUGUUUCUUUUGUUGCUCGGAACUGAACCAAGGUCCAACUAUAGCUGCUGUUUUCUGCCAUCAUUUGGCUCACUUUAGUGCCCUCCUUUGUUUGAUUUAGGAAUCUAAUAUCCAGCAAUGCGUAUUGUGUUUCAAUUUGAAAAAGUAUUUGAAAUAGUGAAGUAGAUGAAAAAAUGAUACUUACAUGGGUCAAUUUUAAUUCUUGACUUUGAGUAGAAUGUUGUUAUUGGUUGCUUGACGAUUUAAGCUCGAUUGCAUUUUUUUUAAGUUUGGGAUUUGGGUUCUGUAAAUGAAAUGUCCCUGUAAGCUUUUUUUUUUGUGUAUACUAAUUUUAUGUUUUGUAUAUAUAUCUUCUACUUUGGAUUUA